AUCUUUUGUGGUCCAUAAAUGUGAUGAUUGGGCUUCCACAUCAUUGUAUGAGAUGUGUUUCUCUCAAAGCUUGUUAUAAUGUUAAAAUAUUACCUGUCCGAUA
ensembl:snoRNA